rnacentral:rRNA from 1 species
UCUUGUGAGAACUUGGAAAGCUUGGCCUGGUUAGUACUUGGAUGGGAGACCACUGGGAAUACCAGGUGCCACAGGGG